UUCGGGUUUAGUGGCGCACGGGUGCGUUAACGCGUGCCGAAUCUGCCCCUUGGUUCGGAAUAACAGUUGGAAACGACUGCUAAUACCGGAUGAUGACGUAAGUCCAAAGAUUUAUCGCCGAGGGAUGAGCCCGCGUAGGAUUAGGUAGUUGGUGUGGUAAAGGCGCACCAAGCCGACGAUCCUUAGCUGGUCUGAGAGGAUGAUCAGCCACACUGGGACUGAGACACGGCCCAGACUCCUACGGGAGGCAGCAGUGGGGAAUAUUGGACAAUGGGCGAAAGCCUGAUCCAGCAAUGCCGCGUGAGUGAUGAAGGCCUUAGGGUUGUAAAGCUCUUUUACCCGGGAUGAUAAUGACAGUACCGGGAGAAUAAGCUCCGGCUAACUCCGUGCCAGCAGCCGCGGUAAUACGGAGGGAGCUAGCGUUAUUCGGAAUUACUGGGCGUAAAGCGCACGUAGGCGGCUUUGUAAGUAAGAGGUGAAAGCCCAGAGCUCAACUCUGGAAUUGCCUUUUAGACUGCAUCGCUUGAAUCAUGGAGAGGUCAGUGGAAUUCCGAGUGUAGAGGUGAAAUUCGUAGAUAUUCGGAAGAACACCAGUGGCGAAGGCGGCUGACUGGACAUGUAUUGACGCUGAGGUGCGAAAGCGUG
rnacentral:rRNA from 1 species